CUGUCUUGAGGUUCAUCCCCUGAUCAAGGAUGCCCAGAGCCGAGAGACAGCAACAGAUUAAUAACAGUCAACCCACUGGGACGGUUGGCCAUUUAAGAAGUGAGGAUUCAUUCUUAUGGCCAAUAUUUAUGGGAAGUUCCGUGUGGAUUCUCA
ncrna:unclassified sequences DTF2800 RNA